UUAAGCGACUAAGCGUACACGGUGGAUGCCCUGGCAGUCAGAGGCGAUGAAGGACGUGCUAAUCUGCGAUAAGCGUCGGUGAGGUGAUAUGAACCGUUAUAACCGGCGAUUUCCGAAUGGGGAAACCCAGUGUGUUUCGACACACUAUCAUUAACUGAAUCCAUAGGUUAAUGAGGCGAACCGGGGGAACUGAAACAUCUAAGUACCCCGAGGAAAAGAAAUCAACCGAGAUUCCCCCAGUAGCGGCGAGCGAACGGGGAGGAGCCCAGAGCCUGAAUCAGUGUGUGUGUUAGUGGAAGCGUCUGGAAAGGCGCGCGAUACAGGGUGACAGCCCCGUACACAAAAAUGCACAUAUUGUGAGCUCGAUGAGUAGGGCGGGACACGUGGUAUCCUGUCUGAAUAUGGGGGGACCAUCCUCCAAGGCUAAAUACUCCUGACUGACCGAUAGUGAACCAGUACCGUGGGAAAGGCGAAAAGAACCCCGGCGAGGGGAGUGAAAAAGAACCUGAAACCGUGUACGUACAAGCAGUGGGAGCCUCUUAAUGGGGUGACUGCGUACCUUUUGUAUAAUGGGUCAGCGACUUAUAUUCUGUAGCAAGGUUAACCGAAUAGGGGAGCCGAAGGGAAACCGAGUCUUAACUGGGCGUUAAGUUGCAGGGUAUAGACCCGAAACCCGGUGAUCUAGCCAUGGGCAGGUUGAAGGUUGGGUAACACUAACUGGAGGACCGAACCGACUAAUGUUGAAAAAUUAGCGGAUGACUUGUGGCUGGGGGUGAAAGGCCAAUCAAACCGGGAGAUAGCUGGUUCUCCCCGAAAGCUAUUUAGGUAGCGCCUCGUGAAUUCAUCUCCGGGGGUAGAGCACUGUUUCGGCAAGGGGGUCAUCCCGACUUACCAACCCGAUGCAAACUGCGAAUACCGGAGAAUGUUAUCACGGGAGACACACGGCGGGUGCUAACGUCCGUCGUGAAGAGGGAAACAACCCAGACCGCCAGCUAAGGUCCCAAAGUCAUGGUUAAGUGGGAAACGAUGUGGGAAGGCCCAGACAGCCAGGAUGUUGGCUUAGAAGCAGCCAUCAUUUAAAGAAAGCGUAAUAGCUCACUGGUCGAGUCGGCCUGCGCGGAAGAUGUAACGGGGCUAAACCAUGCACCGAAGCUGCGGCAGCGACACUAUGUGUUGUUGGGUAGGGGAGCGUUCUGUAAGCCUGUGAAGGUGGCCUGUGAGGGUUGCUGGAGGUAUCAGAAGUGCGAAUGCUGACAUAAGUAACGAUAAAGCGGGUGAAAAGCCCGCUCGCCGGAAGACCAAGGGUUCCUGUCCAACGUUAAUCGGGGCAGGGUGAGUCGACCCCUAAGGCGAGGCCGAAAGGCGUAGUCGAUGGGAAACAGGUUAAUAUUCCUGUACUUGGUGUUACUGCGAAGGGGGGACGGAGAAGGCUAUGUUGGCCGGGCGACGGUUGUCCCGGUUUAAGCGUGUAGGCUGGUUUUCCAGGCAAAUCCGGAAAAUCAAGGCUGAGGCGUGAUGACGAGGCACUACGGUGCUGAAGCGACAAAUGCCCUGCUUCCGUGAAAGCCUCUAAGCAUCAGGUAACAUCAAAUCGUACCCCAAACCGACACAGGUGGUCAGGUAGAGAAUACCAAGGCGCUUGAGAGAACUCGGGUGAAGGAACUAGGCAAAAUGGUGCCGUAACUUCGGGAGAAGGCACGCUGAUAUGUAGGUGAAGCGACUUGCUCGUGGAGCUGAAAUCAGUCGAAGAUACCAGCUGGCUGCAACUGUUUAUUAAAAACACAGCACUGUGCAAACACGAAAGUGGACGUAUACGGUGUGACGCCUGCCCGGUGCCGGAAGGUUAAUUGAUGGGGUUAGCGGUAACGCGAAGCUCUUGAUCGAAGCCCGGUAAACGGCGGCCGUAACUAUAACGGUCCUAAGGUAGCGAAAUUCCUUGUCGGGUAAGUUCCGACCUGCACGAAUGGCGUAAUGAUGGCCAGGCUGUCUCCACCCGAGACUCAGUGAAAUUGAACUCGCUGUGAAGAUGCAGUGUACCCGCGGCAAGACGGAAAGACCCCGUGAACCUUUACUAUAGCUUGACACUGAACAUUGAGCCUUGAUGUGUAGGAUAGGUGGGAGGCUUUGAAGUGUGGACGCCAGUCUGCAUGGAGCCGACCUUGAAAUACCACCCUUUAAUGUUUGAUGUUCUAACGUGGGCCCCUUACCGGGGUUGCGGACAGUGUCUGGUGGGUAGUUUGACUGGGGCGGUCCUCCUAAAGAGUAACGGAGGAGCACGAAGGUUGGCUAAUCUGGUCGGACAUCAGGAGGUUAGUGCAAUGGCAUAAGCCAGCUUGACUGCGAGCGUGACGGCGCGAGCAGGUGCGAAAGCAGGUCAUAGUGAUCCGGUGGUUCUGAAUGGAAGGGCCAUCGCUCAACGGAUAAAAGGUACUCCGGGGAUAACAGGCUGAUACCGCCCAAGAGUUCAUAUCGACGGCGGUGUUUGGCACCUCGAUGUCGGCUCAUCACAUCCGGGCUGAAGUAGGUCCCAAGGGUAUGGCUGUUCGCCAUUUAAAGUGGUACGCGAGCUGGGUUUAGAACGUCGUGAGACAGUUCGGUCCCUAUCUGCCGUGGGCGCUGGAGAACUGAGGGGGGCUGCUCCUAGUACGAGAGGACCGGAGUGGACGCAUCACUGGUGUUCGGGUUGUCAUGCCAAUGGCACUGCCCGGUAGCUAAAUGCGGAAGAGAUAAGUGCUGAAAGCAUCUAAGCACGAAACUUGCCCCGAGAUGAGUUCUCCCUGACUCCUUGAGAGUCCUGAAGGAACGUUGAAGACGACGACGUUGAUAGGCCGGGUGUGUAAGCGCAGCGAUGCGUUGAGCUAACCGGUACUAAUGAACCGUGAGGCUUAACCU
rnacentral:rRNA from 1 species